CCUACGGGUGGCAGCAGUGAGGAAUAUUGGUCAAUGGACGAAAGUCUGAACCAGCCAAGUCGCGUGAAGGAUGACUGCCCUAUGGGUUGUAAACUUCUUUUAUAUGGGAGUAAAAUGUUCCACGUGUGGGAUUUUGUAUGUACCAUAUGAAUAAGGAUCGGCUAACUCCGUGCCAGCAGCCGCGGUAAUACGGAGGCUUCGAGCGUUAUCCGGAUUUAUUGGGUUUAAAGGGAGCGUAGGUGGAUUGUUAAGUCAGUUGUGAAAGUUUGCGGCUCAACCGUAAAAUUGCAUUUGAUACUGGCAGUCUUGAGUACAGUAGAGGUGGGCGGAAUUCGUGGUGUAGCGGUGAAAUGCUUAGAUAUCACGAAGAACACCGAUUGCGAAGGCAGUUCACUGGACUGCAACUGACGCUGAGGCUCGAAAGUGUGGGGAUCAAACAGGAUUAGAUACCCUUGUAGUC
rnacentral:rRNA from 1 species